UACGUAGGGUCCAAGCGUUAUCCGGAAUUACUGGGCGUAAAGCGUGUGUAGGCGGGAGUUUAAGUGCAAUGCGAAAUCUUGUGGCUCAACCAUAUAGACUGUAUUGCAUACUGGACACCUUGAGGACGUGAGAGGCAAGUGGAAUUGGUAGUAGUAGCAGUGAAAUGCGCAGAUAUCAGGAGGAACACCAAUGGCGAAGGCAGCUCGCUGGGACGUGAACUGACGCUGGAGACGCGAAAGCGUGGGGAGCAAACAGG
rnacentral:rRNA from 1 species